UGGGGAAUAUUGCACAAUGGAGGGAACUCUGAUGCAGCGACGCCGCGUGAGUGAUGAAGGAAUUCGUUUCGUAAAACUCUGUUCUAUGGGAAGAAAAGGACUGUACCAUAGGAGAAAGCUCCGGCUAAAUACGUGCCAGCAGCCGCGGUAAUACGUAUGGAGCGAGCGUUGUCCGGAAUUAUUGGGCGUAAAGGGUGCGCAGGCGGCUUUACAAGUUGGAUGUGAAAUAUUGUGGCUCAACCACAAACGUGCAUCCAAAACUGCAAAGCUAGAGUUAAGGAGAGGUAAGUCGAAUUCCUGGUGGAGCAGUGGAAUGCGUAAACAUCAGGAGGAAUACCGGUGGCGAAGGCGACUAACUAGACAUAAACUGACGCUCAGGCACGAAAGAAUGGGGAGCAAACAGG
rnacentral:rRNA from 1 species